CAAGAGUACGUGAAACCGCAUGCAGGUAAACGGGUGGCGUCAAGCUGCAAGCCCAGAGAAUUCAGCCGGCUAGGGUGUUGUGUAUGCGCCUGGCGCAUCUAUCAGCCAGAGUAGUAUGAUUGGGUAGUCCACUAGCAAACAGUGGGCCUGUCCGCAAGGUCAGGAUAUGUGUACCGGGUGGGUGCCGGAGCAUGCUAUCCGUCUGGGGGCUGUCUAGCCGGUGCACUUUCU
rnacentral:rRNA from 1 species